rnacentral:rRNA from 1 species
ACAUGAAGCUGGAAUCGCUAGUAAUCGCGGAUCAGAAUGCCGCGGUGAAUACGUUCCCGGGUCUUGUACACACCGCCCGUCACACCAUGGGAGUCGGAAAUGCCCGAAGUCAGUGACCCAACCACAACGUGAACUUUGUUCACGUGGAGGGGGCUGCCGAAGGUGGAGCCGGUAACUGGGGUGAAGUCGUAACAAGGUAAC